AACAUGAAACGAUUGGAGACCAAGAGCAGACUCCACGCAUCUCCUCUUUGGAAGCUCUUCACAUGAAAGAAUGAAACACCCCGAGCAGCGCUGACUUGUGCCGUGUGUGUGGCCCGCCGGCACAGGUGUCCGUAGGCAGGUAGAGUGGGAAGAUGCUGAUGGGCACAGAACCCUGAGAUGUCUCUUCCUGGUGAUUUCCCGCAGGGGAGGGUGGCUCUAAGGCUUUCUCGAAGGUGUUUAGUGUUGAGACUCUUUCUCCACGCCUAUAGCUAACGUUGGCAUCACUGUCUCCCCGCAGGUGUCUGAUGUUGCUUGCAAUCAGACGUACUUUUGGAGAAAAGGUGGCAGGAACCAUUAGAGGUAGCUUUAACCACUUCGUUGCCAAUACAGGGAGAGGACUGUGCCGAUGGAGCCCACAAAUUGGCCCAUUUAGUUGGGCACAAGGUGUUAGCCUUCUAGUGUGUCCCAAAUUUAUCCUUGAAAUCUUCCUAAAGAGCAAAGCAGCGCAUUUGUAGGCAUGAAAAACCUGCAGUGUGGCCCUGAGAGCUGGGAUUCCAUCAGCAAUUCUGCACCUGCUAUUGAACACGGCCUGCAUUUUGUUUUACGUAAAUGGAGGCCUUGGGAUUUGCCCGGCGGGGGGUGAAUUCCUUUCAUUUUGCCACAGAACAGGAAGAGCUCCAUGUGGAAGACUGUCAGCUGCUUUCGGGAAGGAUGGAGUUCUACACAUUCUCUCUCCGUGUGUGCAUUGCUCCUGAAUGUUUUAGAGGUUCUCUGGAAGACUAAGGGCACUUCUAGAAAAAAACAGCAGCUGCAGAGGAGCCUAGACACUUUACCAGGAAGAAAAGCAAACAUUUCCCAGUCCCGACUACACUCAAGCUUCGCCCAGGAAGAUUUUUCACACUGAUAAUUAGAAUCGACAUAUUUAUGGGGCUCUAUUUUUGCGUGGACCAUCCGGUCUGAGGCCAGUAUUCCUUUUGAAGUCUGGAGAAUUGGAACCUUGGAGGAACUGAACAGUUCCCAGAGAGCAGAGCCUCAGGGAAUAAAACUUUAGACAGGCCUUAAGAUCAUUAGCGCUCGUUUUCCUUCACGCACAGAUAUCUCUCUGGAAAACCUUUGGUGGCCAAAGUCAUUAAUGAUCACAUAUAAAACCCUAAUUAAUCCAAAUGGGAAUCCAAUUCUUGACAAGCUGAUUUCAUCUCCAUUAGAUUUGUGGUUUGCAGAACCUGGGACCACUUUGCCCCAUAACAAAAAGCAGUCACACUCCACCCUGUUGAAUUCUGAGUCACUCGAGCUUCGAGUUCCCGGGUGAUUUUGCGUGAGUCAUUGUUCCACAUGAGGAUUUCUAAUUCAGUCAACAAAAAGCACUCAACUAUUCAUCUUUUGCUACCAAUUACUCAGUUUCGAAAUGACAUGUACCCACAGUAUUCAGUGGAUCCGUACCUCUGCAAAACGCACCUUAGAACAAUUUGUUCUCUUAAAUGAGUAGCUAGAAAAGUUCCAUUAUGCCAAGCACAAUGUAAUUGUUGCCCUGGCAGACAGCUGCCCAGGAAAGGCACUCUGGACUGUCGUUUGAUACUUGAGAGUCGGCUCCUGUAGGAGGACAGGUGCAUUUAGAACACCAUUGAGGGAUGGAUGGAAACAAAGAAGGGCAUCGAGUGAACUCUAUGAUUUAAGAUCAUUAAUUAAAGCUCUCUAAACUUCCAUUUCUUCAUCUGUAAAGUGAAGAUGAUAGUGUUGCCUGCCCAUCUUUCAGGAUGAUUAUCAAAAUUCGUUCAAGUUAAUAAAUGUGUAAGCAGUACGUACUAAGCCCAAUGCUGUAACAGUUAUCUCUGGAAAUAUGAUGGUACACUAGUGUUACUUCUUGAUUCAAUGGUCAUUUAAUGGAAAAAUAAAAUAACUUAGAUAACUUGUUAAAAUCCUCACAAAUAUAAAACAGAGGCAGUAGUAAUGGGAGUAAACUCAGAGAGUCAACAUUGGGAGGGAACAGAAAGAUUCUGCAGCCUAAUCCUUUCAUUUUUAAAAAAUUUUUCUAAUGUUUAUUUAUUUUUGAGAGAGGUAAAUGAAAGUGCGAGCAGGGGAGAGGCAGAGAGAGAGAGGGAGACACAGAAUCCAAAGCAGGCUCCAGGCUCUGAGCUGUCAGCACAGAGCCCAACAAGGGGCUCGAAAUCACGAAAUGUAAGAUCAUGACCUGAGCCGAAGUCAGAUGCUUAACCGACUGAGCCGCCCAGGCGCCCCAUAACCCUCUCAUUUUUAAUUAACCGAAUGCCACAGAGAUGAGCAACUUUUGCCAGGAUGUAUGUACAACUAGUAGAACUAAAUAUUGGUUGUUAAGAUAUUCCAACUUUUAAGCAGAUUCCUCAAAACUCAGAGAGUAAGAGCUGGUACAGUCAGCUGCAAUUUAAACAAUUCUACGGGGAAGGUUGGAGACAUUUAGAGAAACUUCUCAGCUCUGGUUAACACUGCAGGUAAAGGGUCAGGCUCCGGAAUCAGACUGACCGGGUUGGAUUCUGGGUCUGCCACUCAUUAGCUAGUGACCUCGGGCAAGUUACAUACAUGUCUAUGUCUCAUUUCCUCCUCUGUAACAUGAAGAUAAUAAAGUACCCAACUCCACAGGGUUGUUGUGAGGACUGAAAUGAAUUAAUACGUAAAGGGCUUAGGACAGGGUCCGGCACAUGACAGGCUCACAGCAACUGGUAUCUAUAAAAUGGGACUUAAGUAAAGCGAAGUAAAUGACUCUCUCGGGUCAUUCUGCUUGUAGGAGAGGUAUCUGCAGAAGGGAUGAUGGGGGCACACACACAUUGGACCCAAUGGUGGCACUCCAAGCAGUGAGGGCAGUGAAUGUCUCUUAUACCACAAAGCAAACCAGAGCUGUUACCUUCAGGCUACUUCUUUCCUUUCACCAAGACGUCAGCUAACCUCCUGAGCAUUUCAGACAUCACGUGUGAGUGCGGAUGCCGAGAACGAGCCUGAAUUCCAGGACUGAGACUCUCAUCCACUCAGCUCCUACCUGCGGCUUACUCUGGGUUCAAUUAAGGCAGCAGAGGGUUUGCAGAGGAGAGGUGGCCCCUGUUCUGAGAUAAAGGCAUUGAUCACCCUUCAUUAACAAUUCAUUAGCAUCCUCUGCCCCACUUGAUCUGGCCUGAAGGUUGCCGGGCAGAGCCUGGGGCGUGGUGUUUGGUUUACACACUGAUCCCUAUCACUGUGACCAUCUGAGGCUUUCUAACCUCAGCAGAGCAGGCUGGCCCGGCUGACCCUCGGUCGGGGUCACUCUGGGACAACAGUCCAUUUCCCGGACUCGCUGGUAGGCAGGGGUAGAAGCAAAGGCAAAGGAGAGAAAGAACGGGGCUGUAACCUAGUCAAUGGAAGUGAUACAGCUGGAGAAAGCAGGUCAGCCCAGAGGCGCGGUCAGCACAGGACAAGGCAGUGUCCAAUAGGAAGGGGUUGUGCACACUCAGCUCUGUGCUCAGAGCGGGUGACCUGUCCCCGAGAAUGCGGUCUGAUUUCCUCUAGAUACAUCCCUUUGGUGGAGAGGGAGCAUCCGGCUUCAUUUAACAUUCCAAGCAGACAGCCAGCUCCCUCUUCUCGCUCAGAUUCCAGCCUCGCCUGGCUGUCUUCCGAUGAUAAUUUGACUUCCCACGUAGAUUUCACCACAGGGAGAGAAUGUGCUUGAAACAGAAUGUGUGUCUGAUCUCCUGGCCGAUUUUACUUGUCAUUGUAAAUUAAUAAAAUGGCGUUUUGAUUUACACAUCUGUCUCUGGUGAACUUGGUUAGUAUGACUGAGGGCCCGAUAAACUGAUCUUACCUCAGUGUGCUGACAAAACCAAUUUUCUCAGCUUUUGAACCUGAAA